GUGCCAGCAGCCGCGGUAAUACGUAGGCAGCGAGCGUUGUUCGGAAUUACUGGGCGUAAAGAGUGUGUAGGCGGUGCUCUAAGUUCGGUGUGAAAUCUCCCGGCUUAACUGGGAGGGUGCGCCGGAAACUGGAGUGCUCGAGCGUGGGAGAGGAAAGCGGAAUUCCUGGUGUAGCGGUGAAAUGCGUAGAUAUCAGGAGGAACACCUGCGGUGUAGACGGCUUUCUGGACCAUUGCUGACGCUGAGACACGAAAGCGUGGGUAGCAAACAGGAUUAGAUACCCGGGUAGUCC
rnacentral:rRNA from 1 species